rnacentral:rRNA from 1 species
GACGAACGCUGGCGGCGGGCUUAACACAUGCAAGUCGAACGGAAAGGCCCUGCUUUUGUGGGGUGCUCGAGUGGCGAACGGGUGAGUAACACGUGAGUAACCUGCCCUGGACUUUGGGAUAACUUCAGGAAACUUGGGCUAAUACCGGAUAGGAGCUCCUGCGGCAGGGUGGGGGUUGGAAAGUUUCGGCGGUUGGGGAUGGACUCGCGGCUUAUCAGCUUGUUGGUGGGGUAGUGGCUUACCAAGGCUUUGACGGGUAGCCGGCCUGAGAGGGUGACCGGCCACAUUGGGACUGAGAUACGGCCCAGACUCCUACGGGAGGCAGCAGUGGGGUAUAUUGCACAAUGGGAGGAAGCCUGAUGCAGCAACGCCGCGCGCGGGAUGACGGCCUUCGGGUUGUAAACCGCUUUCGCCUGUGACGAAGCGUGAGUGACGGUAAUGGGUAAAGAAGCACCGGCUAACUACGUG